rnacentral:rRNA from 1 species
AUUGAACGCUGGCGGCAGGCCUAACACAUGCAGGUCGAGCGGCAGCACUUCGGGUGGCGAGCGGCGGACGGGUGAGUAACACGUAGGAAUCUACCUAGUAGUGGGGGAUAGCCCGGGGAAACUCGGAUUAAUACCGCAUACGCUCUACGGAGGAAAGGGGGCUUCGGCUCUCGCUAUUAGAUGAGCCUGCGUCGGAUUAGCUAGUUGGUGAGGUAAAGGCUCACCAAGGCGACGAUCCGUAACUAGUCUGAGAGGAUGAUCAGUCACACUGGAACUGAGACACGGUCCAGACUCCUACGGGAGGCAGCAGUGAGGAAUAUUGGACAAUGGGCGAGAGCCUGAUCCAGCCAUGCCGCGUGCAGGAAGACGGCCCUAUGGGUUGUAAACUGCUUUUGUACGGGAAGAAACACCCCCUCGUGAGGGGGCUUGACGGUACCGUAAGAAUAAGGAUCGGCUAACUCCGUG